CACACACUUUGGUUUAUAAAAAUUUCUCGUUUUGUAAAGGAACUUGAUCGGAGCGCCUUUCUACCUGCUAGAUUGGAUGCUGCACAAUUUACCAAUGACUAAAUAGAGCCUAUUUGACUACUUUGAAUGUUGAAUAAAGUCACUAUGAACAUUCUUGUAUGAGGUGAACAAGGAGGCUUCUAAAUUUCAAGGUUGACAGAAAGGUGCAUGGGGAAAUUGGAUCAGGCUGCUGCCAAUGUUCUCCAAAACUAGAAGUCUACACAUACAUAAUUAAGUACUACUAUCAAAGAAAUACUGGUUUUGCCAUUUUUUCAAACACUUUACCUAUCAUCAGAUUUACCUUUUGUGUCAUCUGUUUUCCAGAGUAAAUCUACUUCAUUUUCAUCUAA